rnacentral:sRNA from 1 species
CUGCUGGACUGAGCUGGUUGCCUCAUGUUAUUGUGCAGGCGACUCACUUUAUCCCAAUUUCUUGAUACUUUUCCUUCUGGAGGUCCUAUUUCUCUAACAUCUUCCAGAAAAGUCUUAAAGCUGCCUUAACCUUUUUUCCAGUCCACCUCUUAAAUUUUUUCCUCCUCUUCCUCUAUACUAACAUGAGUGUGGAUCCAGCUUGUCCCCAAAGCUUGCCUUGCUUCGAAGCAUCCGACUGUAAAGAAUCUUCACCUAUGCCUGUGAUUUGUGGGCCUGAAGAAAACUAUCCAUCCUUGCAAAUGUCUUCUGCUGAGAUGCCUCACACGGAGACUGGACAGCCCUGAUUCUUCCACCAGUCCCAAAGGCAAACAACCCACUUCUGCAGAGAAUAGUGUCACAAAAAAGGAAGACAAGGUCCCGGUCAAGAAACAGAAGACCAGAACUGUGUUCUCUUCCACCCAGCUGUGUGUACUCAAUGAUAGAUUUCAGAGACAGAAAUACCUCAGCCUCCAGCAGAUGCAAGAACUCUCCAACAUCCUGAACCUCAGCUACAAACAG